rnacentral:lncRNA from 1 species
GAUUUUAUAACAUGUACAAAAAAACAAGCUGGCAUUGUCACCUGUGGGUAGUUGUGGCCAAGUAGUUAAGGCGAUGGACUUGAAAUUCAUUGGGGUCUCCAUGCGCAGGUUUGAAUCCUGCCAUCUACAAAGCUUUUACUGAUGCUGACAGCAUGAGUAUUGCACAAGUGAGCCUUCCUCUAGCCAUUGCUACGAUCUUGGAUAACUUGAUCUUCGGCAAUUAUCUUUAGGCUCAUCUUUCCGAGACAGCUUCAGGUGAACUGCAAUUUUCCAUUGUCCUAAAAAAACUUAAUAACUUGAAAAAUAUGAAACAUAUGAAUGAGAAAAAUAAUUGACAAUAGACUAGAUAGAUACAGACAGAAUAACUAUAGUAAAGAUUAGAAAAACAAUACAGUUAAUGCUGGAAGCACUAAUCACACUGUGAUUAGAGAGAAAGAGGAGGUAAGGUUGAGGAAGUUGAGAGAAAAGGUAUGGAGGAGGAAAAAUGAACUAAUGAGAGUAAAGAGGAAGAGAUUAGGAAUUUUAAACAACUAAAAAAAGAAUGGAAACAGAAGGCAGAGGAGGAGCAAAGAGAACUGAAAAAAAUGGAAAAUACAAAGAAGAAAUAAAAAAAAACGAGAAGGAGGAGGCAAAGCUGAUGAAGUCAGAAACAAAGGAAUUGAGGAGGGAAGAUAAUGAGAGACUAAAAUAUUGGGAGGAGAGAGAGAAGCAAGUGAAGCUAAAUAAACAGGAGUUGUUUAAGGAAUUAAAACAACUAAGAAAAGAUUAUAUGCAGAAGGCAGAGAAUGAGCAAAGACUGAUGAAGAAGUUUGAGAAGUCAAUAAAGAAAAUCGCAGUUCACCUGAUGCUGUCUCUCAAAGAUGAGCCUAAAGAUAAAUGCCGAAGAUCAAGUUAUCCGAGAUCUUUGCAUGGAUACUUCAAAGAAUAAUCUGAGAUGUGUUUUGAAGUGAAGCAAUGGCUAGAGGAAGGCUUACUUGUGCAAUACUCAUGGUGUCAGCAUCACUAAAAGCUUCGAAGACGGCAGGAUUUGAACCUGCGCAGGGAGACCCCAACGGAUUUCGAGUCCAUCGCCUUAACCACUCGGCCACAACUAUAUCCCUUUGACAGCUCAUUUCACAAAAUCAUUCAUCAGUUAUUCUGCUUUACCCCUAUGUGAAAAGAAGCAAUAAGACUUGACAACAUCAGUGACAGAAAUCCAAAUGAAGUGGACAAAUUGGCCUCAGCUUUGUCAGCAGGUCAAAGUCAGUUUGCAGUUUCUCUUGAGCAGUUCCCUGAUCAUCCAGUGGUUACGAUUCGAAUCUUUGGCAGGGGCCUGUGUUUACACAUCAAUACAUUGGUAUGUUUUAAUUCUACACUGAUGCAUUUCGAAAUGUUC